AUGUACGGCGAAUCAGCGUCGGAGAGGAAGGGAGAGACGUGGAGGACUCUAAGGAUCUUAAAACAGCAACACCAAGAUGGUAGACCCUGGCUUUGUCUUGGAGACUUCAAUGAAAUUCUGUCAAACGAUGACAAGAAAGGAGGGGUAGACAGACCACAGCAGGCCAUGGAUAAAUUCAGAGAUGCAUUGUGUGAUUGUUCGCUGAUGGAUAUUGGUUUCGAGGGUGAUAUCUUUACGUGGCGCAACCAUGACAUUUGUGAACGGUUGGACAGAGCCACAGCAAACCGUGAAUGGUGUGAUCUAUUCCCGAGCUUCAGGGUAGUAAAUGGUUCACCUCGACACUCUGAUCAUAGGCCCGUUAUUGUUUGGACAAAGGGAGAGCAAAGGAGAGGCAGAGGAGGCGGUGAUAGUGGAUUCAGAUUUGAGGCACGUUGGUUCCAGGAGGAAGGUUGUCAAGAGUUAAUUCAGGAGGCAUGGGAGGAGAGUAGGGAGCAAGGAGGAGUGGAUGUCGCCGGAUCAAUGCGUGUUCUCGCGGGUAAACUCCGCAAAUGGGACAGGGAGGUGCUAGGGGAGUUGGAAGGAAGGCUGAAAAGAGCGAAGGCUGACUUUGAAAGGUGUAUGAGGGAGACGGUGACAGAAGAGAAGAUUAAAGAAGAGGUGGAGUUGAGGUGCCAAGUUUAG
rnacentral:rRNA from 1 species